AGUGAGAUAACUGGGUCAAUUGGUGGUUCCAUUCCAAGUUUUCUGAGGAAUAUCCAUACUGCUCUCCAGAGAGGUUGAACCAAUUUGCAGUCCUACCAGCAAU
rnacentral:pre_miRNA from 1 species